UACGUAGGGGGGCAAGCGUUGUCCGGAAUCAUUGGGCGUAAAGAGCGUGUAGGCGGCUUGGUAAGUCCGCUGUGAAAGUCCAGGGCUCAACCCUGGAAAGCCGGUGGAAACUGUCAAGCUUGAGUCCGGAAGAGGCGAGUGGAAUUCCUGGUGUAGCGGUGAAAUGCGCAGAUAUCAGGAGGAACACCGGUGGCGAAGGCGGCCUGCUGGGCAGUUUUGCUGACACUGAGGCGCGACAGCGUGGGGAGCAAACAGG
rnacentral:rRNA from 1 species